rnacentral:lncRNA from 1 species
CAUAGUAUCAACAUGUUCUUUGGUCACAUUAACUUUAUAGUCUACUUAAAAAUGAGAGAAGUUAGCAUAGAUAAGUGACGAUUUCCAAAAAGAAUACUUGGCAUGAUACGUGUAUAACAACAAGAUAUUUGCCUCUUUAUUAAUAACUGACUGCUGUGAAUAGCUUAGCCAAGCGUAAAAUUGAUGGCAUUUGAGCUCCAAAGUUUCUCAAUACCUGAUGUGUCCCUCCCCCACUACACCGGCUAUCCAUUGCAUAAAACAUUUUGGAAAUAAAAGUAAUUAAUGUAUAGAGCAUGUACCUUCUUCACCCAUACGCAAGAACUGCAAAGAAUUUUCAGCUUUCAGUCCUCGUGCCACUCAAGAAAGCCCUGCCUGUGCCAAUGUAAUUUGCAUUUUCAUAAAACUUCUCCAUUUAUCAGUUAUUUUCCGAGCAAAAAUGUCAUCAUCCGAGAGCCCUGUCCGUGCCAAUUCAUCCCGCGGCAGGUAGAUCCUUCCUCUUCUUGUACUGUAUUCGUGUGAAACCCGCAAGUGUACGAGAUCGUUGACAAGUAAUAGAUUUAGUGAGUUAGAGUAUCGUCCCACGAGGAAUAAAAUUUAAUCGAGUGUACUAAUCCUUAAUCAGAUUCAAAGCGAACAAAUUAAAAGUGAUUUUUUAAAUUUUUAGUUAUUCUAAUUUAAUCUUCGAAAACGUAUAAAAUGUGAAUUUAAAAUGUAUAUAGGAAGAGUGUAUUGGAUUACGAAUCCACCUAUUAUUAUCUAUUCUAAUUUUUAACUACGUAGCUAGUUUCGCUCUUACAUUCUUGACAAUCAAUAAUUCUAUUGUAAUUAAUUUUCUUUUCUGAGAGAAAUUAAAUCUAUCCUAUUCACGACCCGGUCCUAUUCCUAGUCCGAAUUCAUAUGAAUAAAACGUAUUCAAUUUUACAAUUAUCUCAAAGAUUGCACACGUAAUAAAUCUUAUUUCUAAAAUUUAUUGCACGUAUGUUAAUCAUGCAAUGUUCUAAACUUAUUGUAAAGCUCUCAACACUACAACAAGCAACUAUAUAUUUAAUUGAUGAUCAGGUAAUCAAAUAAUAAAAUUAAGCAUGCUAGAUUAAUUAACAAUUGCAAGAAUUUAACUAAAUCACGUGUCUUGAAUUAAAAAUAAAUAAUAACGGAUUUCAUCUUCAUCCAAUACAUAAGAUUAGAAUUAAACACAUAAAAUUGGAAAGACAUCACUGGAAAUUUAGCGAACGCGAUUAAUACUCCAAUUAAAGUUGCUGUUUUCCGUCCUUUUUCUUCCAAUUUUCCGUCAGCUUUUGCAUGUAACUCCUUCCUGUGCGUGUAUGUUUGUAUAUGAAUUAAUUCCAGUUGGCAGCCCAAACUUUCUCUGCUUCAAUUACAGCUUGUGUUUGUUGUGUGUAUAUAUAUAUAUAAAAUCAGCUGCCAAAUUCUCCUCAAAAGCAACUCUAAUCCUCCUCCAAAUUCAGCCGUCAAUGUGUUUAUAUAUUUCAGUAGCAGGCCCCUUCUUUUCUCUCCUCCCUGCCUUGGUUUGCUACGUGAAUGUAUAUAAUUCUGCCCCAAAUUCU